rnacentral:lncRNA from 1 species
GAGCUCUUAGCCAGGCGUGUAGUCUGGCGGGAGCCGUCGCGGCUGGCUCGGCAGCUCCAGGCUAUUCCGAGGAACAGUCUUCAGAGAGCCUGGGGUGCUGAUGGGGAAAAGCUGUUGCUGAGAUUUGACAAGUUUGGUCCUGAGAUGUCAGAAAGGAUUUCAGCUCUUCUGCCACCCCAAGGACGGUGGCGCGUAAAUCACAAGGACAAUGAAUCCAGGCAGUGAUCCACCAAUGAUAACUAACAUCAUAAAAAGAUACAUGGCCGGAUAUGAUGUUCCUUCUGACGGAAGACCACAACACCUGCUGAAAAAUCAAAUCUGAAUCGGAUCAAGCCUCUAGAGACUGACCCUGCUUAUUUCUGUGAACCAACCAGUGAUCUCUGGCUACUGCUCAGAAGAAACAGAGGGUUUGACACAGACAAGCAAGGUGAAGAUGGUGGAGCCACAAUGUGGAAGGAGGUUGGAUCCCUGAAUCACCACUGGGAAGAGAGUCACCUGCUAAUCAAAAACAUGGUUUUGGAUUUUACCUGAAAACUUAUAAACUUCUAUCAUAUUUGA